UUUCACCUGACUUCCCUUCCCCAUCUCCCUAAGCAACUGUGAUUGGUCAUAAACUGGUUGAGCUAACCCCUUGUUAGCUCAACUGCAUGCUUAAAGGAAAGGCUCCCUUCACCCAUCAUGCUACUCGUGCCACUUGGAGUAAGUGUAUUGUGUUGAUUACACAACAAUGUCAUGUGGGGAACCUCAGUAGUCCAGGAAUCUUAAAAGUGAUCACAGACUGGCCUGAGGAUAUAAUGUUUGGAACAGCAUCAGGAGAAAUACUGCAUGCUACAGAGGCCCACAAUCCAAUGAAUUGCCAGAAAACAAAAAGAAAUACGUCCUGUUCACUGACGGGCCAUGUCGAAUUGACGGGAAGUGCUGCAGAUGGAAAGCUGCAGUGUGGAGCCCCACACAGCGAGUUGAAGAAGCCACUGAAGGACUGCAGAAGGUGUGGCUGUGACGUUAUGUCCAGAGGCACUGGCAGCCUGUGCAGCUGAAGUAUUGCUUGCACCUGACUGAGAAGUUCCUGUCGCUGCAUUAGGGGUUCCAGAAACUGUAAGUGGAGCAGUGCUUGAAGAGUUUGCAGCAGCAGAAUUUCCAAAGCCUGAGAGUCCAGAAGUUCCAGAGCCACUGGUUGUUCCAGAAGUUUUAAAUGAGAAAGAGGCUGCAGAUGGAGCUGAAGAAUUGCCAAACCCAAUAGGAGUGGGAGCACUGUGGGAGGACUUCACACCGAAUGUAGGGGGAUUGGAGGCGGCAGCAGAGCUCCCAAAAGCUGGAGCAUUUCCAGAUGGAACACUGGGAUUUGCUUUAAAGGAGAAACUGGCAGCGCUGCUGCUGCUGCUCACUGGAAAGCCUGUAAUUAUGAAAUGUAUAAGGAUGGUCAGAAUGGGUCCACCUGUGAUACUGAAACACUGCUGCAUUUCAAAAACGCAGAAGAACAUUUAAAAAUAUCUGUUUAAGUGCUGGUUGUUUAUGCAUGAAACUUACUUGGAAAACCAAAGCUUGAGGCUUGCUGUCCUCCAAAUCCAAGAGAAGGUAACGGUUGACUGACUGCAUUCUUUAACUGAGAUAGCUUAAAAAAAUUCCAAAUACAUAAAUGAAAACUACAUUCCAACACAGGCAAGUAUCUUUCAAUCAGUGCUUAACACGAAAAUGUAUAUGUGCCAUCCAAUUUAACAUUACUCAGACAAAGUUAAUUAGACACUGAUCACAAACUAUUGCAGCUAUAAAGAAAAUGCUCUCAGGCCAUUCUCUGUCAAACACCCUAGAAGCAUAAAUCUGUAAUUGUAAUCA